GACGAACGCUGGCGGCGUGCUUAACACAUGCAAGUCGAACGGAAAGGCCCUGCUUUUGUGGGGUGCUCGAGUGGCGAACGGGUGAGUAGCACGUGAGUAACCUGCCCUUGACUUUGGGAUAACUUCAGGAAACUGGGGCUAAUACCGGAUAGGAGCUCCUGCUGCAUGGUGGGGGUUGGAAAGUUUCGGCGGUUGGGGAUGGACUCGCGGCUUAUCAGCUUGUUGGUGGGGUAGUGGCUUACCAAGGCUUUGACGGGUAGCCGGCCUGAGAGGGUGACCGGCCACAUUGGGACUGAGAUACUGCCCAGACUCCUACGGGAGGCAGCAGUGGGGAAUAUUGCACAAUGGGCGGAAGCCUGAUGCAGCAACGCCGCGUGCGGGAUGACGGCCUUCGGGUUGUAAACUGCUUUCGCCUGUGACGAAGCGUGAGUGACGGUAAUGGGUAAAGAAGCACCGGCUAACUACGUG
rnacentral:rRNA from 1 species